AUUGAACGCUGGCGGCAUGCCUUACACAUGCAAGUCGAACGGUAACAGGUUAAGCUGACGAGUGGCGAACGGGUGAGUAAUGUAUCGGAACGUGCCCAGUCGUGGGGGAUAACUGCUCGAAAGAGCAGCUAAUACCGCAUACGACCUGAGGGUGAAAGCGGGGGAUCGCAAGACCUCGCGCGAUUGGAGCGGCCGAUAUCAGAUUAGGUAGUUGGUGGGGUAAAGGCCUACCAAGCCUACGAUCUGUAGCUGGUCUGAGAGGACAACCAGCCCACCUGGGACUGAGACACGGCCCAGACUCCUACGGGAGGCAGCAGUGGGGAAUUUUGGACAAUGGACGCAAGUCUGAUCCAGCCAUGCCGCGUGCGGGAAGAAGGCCUUCGGGUUGUAAACCGCUUUUGUCAGGGAAGAAAAGGUUCUGGUUAAUACCUGGGACUCAUGACGGUACCUGAAGAAUAAGCACCGGCUAACUACGUGCCAGCCGCCGCCGUAACAC
rnacentral:rRNA from 1 species